AACGAACGCUGGCGGCAUGCCUAAUACAUGCAAGUCGAACGAGAUCUUCGGAUCUAGUGGCGCACGGGUGCGUAACGCGUGGGAAUCUGCCCUUGGGUUCGGAAUAACAGCGGGAAACUGCUGCUAAUACCGGAUGAUGACGUGAGUCCAAAGAUUUAUCGCCCAGGGAUGAGCCCGCGUAGGAUUAGGUAGUUGGUGGGGUAAAGGCCUACCAAGCCUACGAUCCUUAGCUGGUCUGAGAGGAUGAUCUGCCACACUGGGACUGAGACACGGCCCAGACUCCUACGGGAGGCAGCAGUAGGGAAUAUUGGACAAUGGGGCAACCCUGAUCCAGCAAUGCCGCGUGAGUGAUGAAGGCCUUAGGGUUGUAAAGCUCUUUUACCCGGGAUGAUAAUGACAGUACCGGGAGAAUAAGCCCCGGCUAACUCCGUGCCAGCCGCCGCAGUAA
rnacentral:rRNA from 1 species